rnacentral:rRNA from 1 species
CCUACGGGAGGCAGCAGUCGAGAAUCAUUCACAAUGGGGGAAACCCUGAUGGUGCGACGCCGCGUGGGGGAAUGAAGGUCUUCGGAUUGUAAACCCCUGUCAUGUGGGAGCAAAUUAAAAAGAUAGUACCACAAGAGGAAGAGACGGCUAACUCUGUGCCAGCAGCCGCGGUAAUACAGAGGUCUCAAGCGUUGUUCGGAAUCACUGGGCGUAAAGCGUGCGUAGGCUGUUUCGUAAGUCGUGUGUGAAAGGCGCGGGCUCAACCCGCGGACGGCACAUGAUACUGCGAGACUAGAGUAAGGGAGGGGGAACCGGAAUUCUCGGUGUAGCAGUGAAAUGCGUAGAUAUCGAGAGGAACACUCGUGGCGAAGGCGGGUUCCUGGACAGUAACGGACGCUGAGGCACGAAGGCCAGGGGAGCGAAAGGGAUUAGAUACCCCGGUAGUC